GAUACAGCCUAUUACAAGAGAUGCUGCUUCACCUCAGUAAUUUUGUUUUGUGGCUUGAAGGAAACUGGAUCCUACAGUGUUAAAACGUCUUCCAUACAAGCUAACCUACAUGCGCUGAUAUAAGAUUCUGUGGGAAUAAAGCAAUGUAUGGAAGAGUCAACCAGAGACUGACUGACUUCAGCUCAAACGAGUUCUGACUGUGGCCCUCGAAGGAAGGAACUGUCUGCACAACAUACGUAUCCAGAAAUCUCAAAAUCAGGAAAAGCUAACAUGCCCAUCAGCUGCUGUGUGAAUCCUAUGAGACUUCCUGGUUGGUUCCUGACUUUGCAGGAUAAAUGUACACUGAGUUGUAACUGACUUUCCUCCAGAAAACUUUUUCCAGACUGCUCACAUAUGUUGGUGAAACAAAGUGGCACGUUUACUGAAGUAAAAAGACUCGGCGCCAGAGGGCUGUAGGACACAUUGCUUCCUCCCAUAAGGCUGCAGAUACCUGCCGCAAGACACGCUCAUCACUUCGCUAUACCUUUCCUUAAAUAAUAAAUGUAAUUACUGUUUUUUCCUGGCCUACAUGGCUAGGACUGCUGGGCUUUCAUCUGAGUUAUGGUUUUGAGCAGGUUGAUGGGUUCAGUUUCAACGAGAGCUUGCUGAUACCUGCUAUGCUUACUCAUGGGAUCAGACAUUACCCAAGACCUGUAUUUUAAAUAAAAUCAUGGUAUACAUUUUAUCAUGAAGGAAAAAAUUAUUCUUGUCAGGAAUAAUUUUUUUAAAAUCCAGCCUAUAAUUUAUAUUCUUUUUGUUGCCAGUUAUCUAUAAUAAGUUUGAAAUUAUCCUGAAUGUAAUAUAGUUAUUCUAACUAUCAGUUGAGUAAUUUCCAUGAAUAAUUCUUGGCUUAGGGUUUGUUUCAUUUGCGAAAUUCAAACAGGCCAGGUAACUGUCUGUUCUCUGUCCAGCUAAACUCUUCAGAAUGAUCUUUCUGCUAAAUCCAGGUAAAAGUUCAAAAAUCUCUCUUUGAGUGGUCCCUAAUACUUGUUCAUGAUGCAUUUUAUUCACCUACUUAGAAAAGGUACACAGGAAAUGUGAACACAGUAGAAGUAAACUAAUGUGUUCAUGCAAAUAAAU